rnacentral:rRNA from 1 species
CCUANGGGAGGCAGCAGUAGGGAAUAUUGGGAAUGGGCGAAAGCCUGACCCAGCAACGCCGCGUGAGUGAUGAAGGCCUUCGGGUUGUAAAACUCUUUUUACGGGGACGAGGAAGGACGGUACCCGUAGAAUAAGUCUCGGCUAACUACGUGCCAGCAGCCGCGGUAACACGUAGGAGACGAGCGUUAUCCGGAUUUACUGGGUGUAAAGCGCGUGCAGGCGGUCCAAUAAGUUGGAUGUGAAAGCUCCCGGCUUAACUGGGAGAGGUCGUUCAAGACUGUUGGACUAGAGGAUGACAGAGGGGAGUGGAAUUCCGAGUGUAGCGGUAAAAUGCAUAGAUAUUCGGAAGAACACCAGUGGCGAAGGCGGCUCUCUGGGUCAUUACUGACGCUCAGACGCGAAAGCUAGGGUAGCAAACGGGAUUAGAUACCCUGNUANUC